UACGUAGGGUGCAAGCGUUAAUCGGAAUUACUGGGCGUAAAGCGUGCGCAGGCGGUCUGUUAAGACCGAUGUGAAAUCCCCGGGCUCAACCUGGGAACUGCAUUUGUGACUGCAAGGCUGGAGUGCGGCAGAGGGGGAUGGAAUUCCGCGUGUAGCAGUGAAAUGCGUAGAUAUGCGGAGGAACACCGAUGGCGAAGGCAAUCCCCUGGGCCUGCACUGACGCUCAUGCACGAAAGCGUGGGGAGCAAAAGGG
rnacentral:rRNA from 1 species